rnacentral:lncRNA from 1 species
AGACUCUUCUCUUCAUUUGGAACCCACCCACGAACGAGAAAAAACUCUCUGCUUUGUGCAAAAUUAAAACAUCCUCUGUCUUUCUUUGUGAAUCUAUCUUUGUGACUAAUUAUAACCUUCAAAUUGGAGAUACAUUUGUGAUGGAGAUCAAAUUUCUGAGCCUAAUUUAGAAGGGGAAAAUCGUUAUUUAAUUUUUCAGUUUUUGGUUCUUGAUUUUAAUCCUUUGCAAAUCCUAAACUAAUUAAUUGGUUUGUUUGAAUUGUAGGUGGGUUUGCUCAACACAUCACGUUGGGGUUUAAUCUUGAACUUGUAUUUAAUACUUCAAAGUGAAUAUUAUAACUACACAUGACACAUGAGUGUCUUUCGUUCUUUAUUUUAUCCAAAACAAUAUAUAUCUUGCAUAUAAAAUUUUGCUAAAAAUGGGGUUGCAUUUCAUGACAGAUCAUUUGAAGUGGGGGGACUUGGAAUCAGCCUUGCCCAGUUAAGAGUUCUAAUAAUGUCAUUUCACUUGUAUGUACAUAUUAAAAAUUUCACUUUUUUAUCAUCUCCUUCUAAUCCUUUAUUUUGUUAUCGAAAUUUUGUAGGAGUUGGAG